AACAAACGCUGGCGGCGUGCCUAACACAUGCAAGUCGUACGAGAAAGGGUCCUUCGGGGCCUGAGUAAAGUGGCGCACGGGUGAGUAACGCGUGGAUAAUCUGCCCUUCAGUUGGGAAUAACUCAUCGAAAGGUGGGCUAAAACCGAAUAAUGCUGUGAGACCUCGGUUGAUCAGCCAAAGAGAGCCUCUGCUUGCAAGCCCUCGCUGAAGAAUGAGUCCGCGUACCAUUAGCUAGUUGGUAGGGUAAUGGCCUACCAAGGCGACGAUGGUUAGCUGGUCUGAGAGGAUGAUCAGCCACACUGGAACUGAGACACGGUCCAGACUCCUACGGGAGGCAGCAGUGAGGAAUCUUGCGCAAUGGGGGCAACCCUGACGCAGCAACGCCGCGUGAGUGAGGGAGGUCUUCGGAUCGUAAAGCUCUGUCGGAUGGAAAGAACCGCAUUGGGGUAAACAGCCCCUGUGUCUGACGGUACCAUCAAAGGAAGCACCGGCUAACUCCGUGCCAGCCGCCGCCGUAAUAC
rnacentral:rRNA from 1 species